rnacentral:rRNA from 1 species
GGAUGAACGCUGGCGGCGUGCCUCAAACAUGCAAGUCGAGCGAGGCUAUGAGUUACCGCAAGGUAAGGCAUAGCCUAGCGGCGAACGGGUGAGUAACACGUGGGUAACCUACCUGGAAGACAGGGAUAACGAUUCGAAAGGGUCGCUAAUACCUGAUAAUAUCCGUCUGCCGGAUGGCGGAGGGAAGAAAGGGGAAACCCGCUUUCAGAUGGGCCCGCGUCCCAUCAGCUAGUUGGUAAGGUAAUGGCUUACCAAGGCGAUGACGGGUAGGGGACCUGAGAGGGUGGCCCCCCACAAUGGAACUGAAACACGGUCCAUACACCUACGGGUGGCAGCAGUAGGGAAUAUUAGUAAUGGGCGAAAGCCUGAACUAGCAACGCCGCGUGUGCGAAGAAGGCCUUCGGGUCGUAAAGCACUUUUUGAGAGGAUGAGGAAGGACGGUACUCUCAGAAUAAGUCUCGGCUAACUACGUGCCAGCAGCCGCGGUAACACGUAGGAGGCAAACGUUAUCCGGAUUUACUGGGCGUAAAGCGCGUGUAGGUGGUUUGGUAAGUAGGGCGUGAAAGCUCCUGGCUCAACUGGGAGAGGACGUUCUAAACUGCCAAGCUUGAGGAUGGUAGAGGGAGGUGGAAUUCCGGGUGUAGCGGUGGAAUGCGCAGAUAUCCGGAGGAACACCAGUGGCGAAGGCGGCCUCCUGGACCACUCCUGACACUCAGACGCGAAAGCUAGGGUAGCAAACGGGAUUAGAGACCCCGGUAGUCCUAGCCCUAAACGAUGUAGACUUGGCGUCGGUGGUUUAAUCGCCAUCGGUGUCGUAGCUAACGCGAUAAGUCUACCGCCUGGGGACUACGGCCGCAAGGUUAAAACUCAAAGGAAUUGACGGGUCCCCGCACAAGCAGCGGAGCGUGUGGUUUAAUUCGAUGCUACACGAAGAACCUUACCUGGGUUUGACAUAGAGGUAGUAGGGAAGCGAAAGCGGACCGACCCUUCGGGGAGCCUCUACAGGUGUUGCAUGGCUGUCGUCAGCUCGUGUCGUGAGAUGUUCGGUUAAGUCCGCUAACGAGCGCAACCCUCGCUGUGUGUUACAAGUGUCACACGGUACUGCCGAUACUAAGUCGGAGGAAGGUGGGGAUGACGUCAAGUCAGCAUGACCUUUAUAUCCAGGGCUACACACACGCUACAAUGGCCAGUACAAUGGGUUGCCAAGCCGCGAGGCGGAGCCAAUCCUAAAAAGCUGGCCUCAGUUCAGAUUGCAGUCUGCAACUCGACUGCAUGAAGUUGGAGUUGCUAGUAACCGCAGGUCAGCAAUACUGCGGUGAAUACGUUCCCGGGGAU